rnacentral:rRNA from 1 species
GACGAACGCUGGCGGCGUGCUUAACACAUGCAAGUCGAACGGAAAGGCCCUGCUUUUGUGGGGUGCUCGAGUGGCGAACGGGUGAGUAACACGUGAGUAACCUGCCCUUGACUUUGGGAUAACUUCAGGAAACUGGGGCUAAUACCGGAUAGGAGCUCCUGCUGCAUGGUGGGGGUUGGAAAGUUUCGGCGGUUGGGGAUGGACUCGCGGCUUAUCAGCUUGUUGGUGGGGUAGUGGCUUACCAAGGCUUUGACGGGUAGCCGGCCUGAGAGGGUGACCGGCCACAUUGGGACUGAGAUACGGCCCAGGCUCCUACGGGAGGCAGCAGUGGGGAAUAUUGCACAAUGGGCGGAAGCCUGAUGCAGCAACGCCGCGUGCGGGAUGACGGCCUUCGGGUUGUAAACCGCUUUCGCCUGUGACGAAGCGUGAGGGACGGUAAUGGGUAAAGAAGCACCGGCUAACUACGUG